rnacentral:lncRNA from 1 species
CCCCUUCUUCUUCUCCAACAGAAUUCUGAACCAAAAAGCCAUUAUCAAUUUGCCACUUUUUCUCUUCCUCCCAAGAAGACACCGUUCACGAUGGCUGUAGUAAUAGGUAACAUAGCUCCCUUCCUAGACCUCGUAAUAUCGCCACCUCGUACUAUCAUCCCCGACCGCAGCAAAAUCCGGCCGCUUCCUUCGGACGUCGUUCUACACCUCUUCAAAAAAGACCACCAGAACUUCAAUUCCGAAUCGUUUUCAUUCGAGAACAAAGAAAGGCAUGUGAAUAUUAGGGGGAAAUCUGGUCGGUCGAAGGUGAAUGAAGUGGAGUUCGAGAAUUCCAGUGACGAUGAAAAUGGAAAUGGAAAUGGAUUCGAGGAGGAAAUUGUGGAAGAUGAGGGUUUUGAUUGGGAAAUUUCAGAUUCUCUCGAAUCAUCCUAUCGAUAACGCUAUGUCCUUUUUCGUCUUUUCCUAAUCCAAAAUUUCUUCCCCCCCCCCCCGCCCCCCCUUCUUCUUCUCCAACAGAAUUCUGAACCAAAAAGCCAUUAUCAAUUUGCCACUUUUUCUCUUCCUCCCAAGAAGACACCGUUCACGAUGGCUGUAGUAAUAGGUAACAUAGCUCCCUUCCUAGACCUCGUAAUAUCGCCACCUCGUACUAUCAUCCCCGACCGCAGCAAAAUCCGGCCGCUUCCUUCGGACGUCGUUCUACACCUCUUCAAAAAAGACCACCAGAACUUCAAUUCCGAAUCGUUUUCAUUCGAGAACAAAGAAAGGCAUGUGAAUAUUAGGGGGAAAUCUGGUCGGUCGAAGGUGAAUGAAGUGGAGUUCGAGAAUUCCAGUGACGAUGAAAAUGGAAAUGGAAAUGGAUUCGAGGAGGAAAUUGUGGAAGAUGAGGGUUUUGAUUGGGAGAAGGAGAUGAAGAGGAGAG